CUCCCUACUUCCCACCACUCUUUCCCAAAUGUUUAUUCUUCCAGACAGGGCCUUCCAGAAAAUCCUGGAAAAGGCGGAAAAACACAAAUAAAUAAAUGGAGGGAAACGGAUAAAUACUAACAUACAGAGGUUACUCGAACUGCCUGCCCUGGGAUGUUGGCUUAGACCAGGCCUGGUGGGAUUAGUUUAAUGUGAAGAGGGUACCAACUACAAUCCUUUUUUUAACUAGAGCUUUUUAAAGUUUAAAAUUGCACCCCGUUGAUUCGCAAUAAUAACAGAGCUAAUGGAGUUCUUGAGGAGAGCAUCCUCUUCAAAGCCAAGGGAGAAAAGAACCUCAAGAAAGAGAAACACCAGGGCUGGAGAGAUGGCUCAGUGGUUAAGAGCACUGUCUGCUCUUCCAGAGGUCCUGAGUUCGAUUCCCAGCAACCACAUGGUGGCUCACUAAAAAAUGAUACAUUGUACUGGAACUCAAUCUGUAGGUGGAAGCGUGGAUGGCAAUCAUUGCACACAAAUAAAGAGCAGGCUGGAAAGCCUUUAGCAGGUGAGGUGGCAGGAGCAGGGUUUAG
rnacentral:lncRNA from 1 species